CCCCUGGGAAUCUUGUUAAAAUGCACAUUCCAGAUCAGUAAGUCUGAGAUUCUGCAUUUCUAGCAAGCUCCCGGU
rnacentral:miRNA from 1 species